UGCGCCUCCAGAGGACGUCGCGGCCGGUGAAGGAGCGCAGGCGGCGGCAGACCUGGCCCAGGCGGCCCAAGGCCUGCGCGUCCAGGAGCGCAGAGAACUGACAGCCCACGACCAUCCUGAUCCAAAGCAAAGCUGCUCUCCACAGAGUGGAGGAAGAAAAUGAGAGUAUAGUGCUGGUAUUCAUCCUUACAGUAUUUUCCAGUCAAUGGACGGCCAAAAUGUUUGAGGAAAUCUCUCCUUCCAAAGUAAAAAAAUAAAUAAACUGUAAGUCCAUCUUCUGCCUACAAUGUGUCACAGAGGUAUCACACACCACAGGCUGCAUCUCCUCUUGCACAGAGAGAAGAAUAAAUGUCAGUAUAUAAUGAGGUUACCAUAGAAGACAGACCUUUAGACAGCACAUAUAUCCUGUUCAACAAUGUCAUCUUGUGUGCAUAAUCUCAAGCAUUCAAGUAUUCAUAGGGCUAAAUCAGCAGCCCCGGAAGUCUUGUAGAGAUUCAGAGCUGCUGCCUGAGAAASUGGUCCAUUUACAGGGUUUUAACACAACCUGGAGCUCAGGGAARUUCCAGAGGACCAGAAGGCAACUGUUCUAUCGGCAUUUAUAACAAGUGAAUCAGAUGGCCCGAGUAAUUAAAAGGUUUAUCAGCCUGCGUUAUUCCUCAGGUAAAAUAACAGCACAUCUGCUGCAGGACUUAAGUAGCUAAUUGAAAAGGGAGGUAAUAUAAUGACCAUCACUUAACAUGAGUUUAUGGAAAAUAGGCAYGAGUGCAGUUUUGUAGCAAAUUAGCUUGGUAUCUUUUCUGAUGACAUUAAAUGUAAGUAAAUAUAAUUAACUUUUUUUCUUUUUGUAAUCAACUGACAAUCAACUGACYGUUUGAAACAUUAAAUAUAUUAAAACCCAAAGAACUUAUCUGUCCUAAUUUGUUAGUUCAAGUACAUGUUUAUUAUCAAGCUGGUCUUUCCUAGURGGUCCCACAGAGACAGUUUGUUGGUCCUGCAUGAUUUAAAAUUUUUAUUAGUAACUUUAAAAAAAUCUGAAGUUAUUAAUUAUCAAAGCUGUGUAGAAGAUGUAAAGCCUGCAGGAAGAGCAAAUCAUGCAAAGGAUGCUCGUGGCUGCAGAACUCCCAAGUUUAGGCAUAAUCUCAUUGUAUAUAUUUCAAUCAAGCCAAAUGUAAAGUCUCACAUCUAGGAACAAAGAAUGUAGGUCACACUGAAAGGAUGUAACUCUAUCCUGCAAAGCUGCAAUUCCGUAAAGUCUUCAUUAAGAUGAAUAAUCAGUUGAACGUGAGCUCCUUCUGCAGUGCUGU